rnacentral:rRNA from 1 species
UAGUGCCUACGGGGCGCAGCAGUGAGGAAUAUUGGUCAAUGGGAGAGAUCCUGAACCAGCCAAGCCGCGUGAGGGAAGACGGCCCUAUGGGUUGUAAACCUCUUUUGUCGGAGGACAAAACCCGGGACGUGUCCCGGACUGCGUGUAUCCGAAGAAAAAGCAUCGGCUAACUCCGUGCCAGCAGCCGCGGUAAUACGGAGGAUGCGAGCGUUAUCCGGAUUUAUUGGGUUUAAAGGGUGCGUAGGCGGACGGUCAAGGCAGCGGUAAAAAUUCGGUGCUCAACGCCG